rnacentral:rRNA from 1 species
GAUGAACGCUGGCGGCGUGCUUAACACAUGCAAGUCGAACGAAGCAUUUAAGACAGAUUACUUCGGUUUGAAGUUUUUUAUGACUGAGUGGCGGACGGGUGAGUAACGCGUGGGUAACCUGCCUCAUACAGGGGGAUAGCAGCUGGAAACGGCUGGUAAUACCGCAUAAGCGCACAGUACCACAUGGUACAGUGUGAAAAACUCCGGUGGUAUGAGAUGGAACCGCGUCUGAUUAGCUGGUUGGCGGGGUAACGGCCCACCAAGGCGACGAUCAGUAGCCGACCUGAGAGGAUGACCGGCCGCAUUGGGACUGGGACACGGCCCAGACUCCUACGGGAGGCAGCAGUGGGGAAUAUUGCACAAUGGAGGAAACUCUGAUGCAGCGACGCAGCGUGAGUGAAGAAGUAGUUCGCUAUGUAAAGCUCUAUCAGCAGGGAAGAUAGUGACGGUACCUGACUAAGAAGCUCCGGCUAAAUACGUGCCAGCCGCCGCGGUAA